rnacentral:sRNA from 1 species
GUGGCCGAGAGGAGAGGAGAAUGGCGGCGGAAGGCUGGGUUUGGUGUUGGGGCUGGGGCCGGCGGUGCCUGGGAAGGCCUGGGCUUCUCGGCCCCGGCCCUGGCCCCACUACACCUCUCUUUCUUCUUUUGUUGUUGGGGUCUGUGACUGCGGAUAUAACUGACGGCAACAGUGAACAUCUCAAGCGGGAGCAUUCGCUCAUUAAGCCCUACCAAGGGGUCGGUUCCAGCUCUAUGCCCCUCUGGGACUUCCAGGGCAGCACUAUGCUCACGAGCCAGUACGUACGUCUGACCCCUGACGAGCGCAGCAAAGAGGGCUCUAUCUGGAACCACCAGCCCUGCUUCCUCAAAGACUGGGAAAUGCACGUCCACUUCAAAGUCCACGGCACAGGGAAGAAGAACCUCCAUGGAGACGGCAUCGCCUUGUGGUACACCCGGGACCGCCUCGUGCCAGGGCCUGUGUUUGGAAGCAAAGAUAACUUCCACGGCUUAGCCAUCUUCCUGGACACCUACCCCAAUGAUGAGACCACUGAGCAAGGAUGGGCGCUGGACCGAGCUGGCGGGC